rnacentral:rRNA from 1 species
CCAUGCGAGUCGUGAGUCUUAGGGACUCGGCAUACUGCUCAGUACCACGUGGAUAACCUGCCCUAUCGUCUGGAAUAACCUCGGGAAACUGAGAAUAAGGCCGGAUAGUUCACAAUGCCUGGAACGGUUUGUGAAUCAAGGUAGGAUGGGUCUGCGGCGUAUCAGGUUGUAGGGGGUGUAAAGGACCCCCUAGCCUUCGACGCGUACGGGUGUUGGGAGACAUAGCCCGGAGAUGGAUUCUGAGACACGAAUCCAGACCCUACGGGGUGCAGCAGGCGCGAAAACUUCACACUGCAGGAAACUGUGAUGAGGGAACUCCUAGUGCAUGCACUAUGUGUAUGUAGAUCCUACUCUUAACAAGUAGAGGGAAAGGGCUGGGAAAGACCGGUGCCAGCCGCCGUGGUAAUACCGGCAGCUCAAGUGGUCGUCGCUUUUAUUGGGCCUAAAACGUCCGUAGCCUGUUUGGUAAAUCUGUGGGUAAAUCAAUCCGAUCAACGGAUUGACUUCUCGCAGAGACUGCAAGACUAGGGACCGGGAGAGGUGUGAGGUACUCCAAGGGGUAGGGGUAAAAUCCUGUCAUCUUCGAGGACCCCACUUGCAACCGCCCAAACUGAAACCGAUCAGAGGUAAGGACCAAGACUAAGGGCCGAAC